CGCCACCCUCGCCUUCUCCACACCCCCCAGCACUGGGUAUCUGGGAACUUUGAGCAGUUCCUAAGACACUGCCCGGAUCCCUUCACCAGAGAAAUCAGCCGUGUAGGACUGGGAAAAUUAUCCGAAUCUGCUUCCUUUCAGGUGCCCUCCUGCAAUUAAUACUACAUUUCUUAAGUAUUGGAUCUUCUCUGAGGAUUCUAAUAUCAUAAAAUAAUACCGUGUUUUACACAGAUCAUGAUUUGAAAAAAUUACCGCCAUUGCGAUAAGCCAUUCCCGCCCCCGUCCCCCACUUCCCCGACUCAUCCUAAAGAAAAACACUGCAUCGAAUACUUGGAAUAUUCAGACCAACUUAAAUCUUGAUAAUGCUGGCAAUUUAUUCUUUCCAGGGCCAUAGGAACCAAAAGAAUUUACAGUCAUUCAUACUGGGUGACUUAAAGUCUGGAGAUGUAUAAAAUCCAAGGCAGUGUGUGAAAACUCAUCUUCACUCCCGCACGGCGAGCACUAGGUCUUGUUUUUCUCUUACAGCUCACACGUUUUUCAGCUAUUGGGAACACCACCGGAGGGAGGGUGGGGUGGAGCACAAGGUGAACCUACACCCACCUCCCCACAACUGCAGGACAAAUCCACACUCUAGAGAAAAGGAUUGAAAUAUUUCAGCUCAGCUUCAUUAUUUGCUUGCAAAGUGUGAGGGCACCUACCAUUUGGGCCUCGGAAAGAGAAUGCAUUUGAAAAUCUUUGGCAAAUUCCAUAUUGAUUUGCUAUCUUUACGCUAUAGCAAAAAUCAUGCUUAGCUUUAAAAUGAGAAUGAUCUGAAUAUAGUAGGAGUGAAAAAUAAUAGAUUUUAUUCUCAUAGCGCUGCGAUCUUUUUAGAGGAAAUAAAAGUUAAAAUCUGCUCUUUCGAACAAGAAAUAUAAUUUCUGUUCAAGGCAACAUGAGCCGUUUGUUGGAGAAGAUAAAGCAAAGAUUGGGAUUGCUAAAGCAGGCACUGAAGGCGGCACAGGCGGGUGCUACAGCUGAAUCCCCCCUGUCAUGUAGGAGAGGCCAGGCAAUUUUCACAAGAGAUUAACUAGAUUGCUAUUUUGUAGCAUGGACUCACCCCACAUACUUAAUGUUGUUAGACGUAGUCGAGUGAGGAAUGAAAAAAAUGAUAAUCUGUAUACUUUAUUUUUGCUCCCUAAGGGAAAAUUUUUAAAUAAGUAUAGCAUUUAAAAAAAAAUAUGGGAACAUGUUUGAGAGUACGCAUGCUUCUUACAGGAAUAAUAGUUACUUCUGAAAACAGAUGUUUGCGCCAUUAACAGUAACCAACUAUUUAGAGAAAUUUUAGGCUACCAAAUAGAAAAUAUAGCCUUUAAUAAUGCACCUCUUGAAAACCUAAUUUAGUAAAAUGGAAAUAGGUCUACUGUUUUUUAAGCCACUGAAUGUAUAUCAUAAUUAGGAUCAUUGGUUAUCUUUUUAGAGCCAAUAUUCACUCAUUUUUGUGUGUGUCUGUCUAUAUACUUAUUUAUAAGCAAGAUAUGUAGUUUGUUUGUUAACCAUAAACAUUGUUGGAUACAUAAUGUUCAGAAUCUUAAGAGUCACAUCUGAUUAGAGGCACAAAUGACUAUUUUUAUGGUGAUUUUUACCUUUUCAUAAUUCCAUCUUUACAAAGAAAAUGUCACGUAAAAGGACUAUUACAUAAAGAGAUGAGAUAUUUCACGAUAUCUCUCAAAAUUAUAACACAGCCAGAGUAAGAAGUGUCCCUUUUUCUUAGGAAAGAAGCAUUUUUCUAAGCAAAUAAUAUGCUAAAAAUAUCACUGGGUAAAUAUUUGACUUAUCUGAUGGAUUGACCACCAUUUUUAGAAGUAUUGCAACCACAUGCAUUCCCCAUCUCUGAAAUGAAGUUAUAAGCUCAUUUCUUUUUGGCAAUACAUAACAUUCCAUUGUCUGAGUAUACCACAGUUUAUCCAUCCUCCUACAGAAGGACAUCAUGGCUGCUUCCAUGUUUUGGCAAUGAUGAAUAAAAUCUGUUACAAGCA